GACAGAGGGUGCAAACGUUGUUCGGAAUUACUGGGCGUAAAGCGAGUGUAGGCGGUUUGGUAAGUCGGAUGUGAAAGCCCUGGGCUCAACCCAGGAAGUGCAUUCGAUACUGUCAAGCUAGAGUAUCGGAGAGGUUGGUGGAAUUCUCGGUGUAGAGGUGAAAUUCGUAGAUAUCGAGAGGAACACCGGUGGCGAAGGCGGCUCUCUGGACAGAUACUGACGCUGAGGCGCGAAAGCGUGGGAAGCAAACAGG
rnacentral:rRNA from 1 species